rnacentral:rRNA from 1 species
AGUAACCUGCCCUUAACUCUGGGAUAAGCCUGGGAAACUGGGUCUAAUACCGGAUAUGACUCCUCAUCGCAUGGUGGGGGGUGGAAAGCUUUAUUGUGGUUUUGGAUGGACUCGCGGCCUAUCAGCUUGUUGGUGAGGUAAUGGCUCACCAAGGCGACGACGGGUAGCCGGCCUGAGAGGGUGACCGGCCACACUGGGACUGAGACACGGCCCAGACUCCUACGGGAGGCAGCAGUGGGGAAUAUUGCACAAUGGGCGAAAGCCUGAUGCAGCGACGCCGCGUGAGGGAUGACGGCCUUCGGGUUGUAAACCUCUUUCAGUAGGGAAGAAGCGAAAGUGACGGUACCUGCAGAAGAAGCGCCGGCUAACUACGUGCCAGCAGCCGCGGUAAUACGUAGGGCGCAAGCGUUAUCCGGAAUUAUUGGGCGUAAAGAGCUCGUAGGCGGUUUGUCGCGUCUGCCGUGAAAGUCCGGGGCUCAACUCCGGAUCUGCGGUGGGUACGGGCAGACUAGAGUGAUGUAGGGGAGACUGGAAUUCCUGGUGUAGCGGUGAAAUGCGCAGAUAUCAGGAGGAACACCGAUGGCGAAGGCAGGUCUCUGGGCAUUAACUGACGCUGAGGAGCGAAAGCAUGGGGAGCGAACAGGAUUAGAUACCCUGGUAGUCCAUGCCGUAAACGUUGGGCACUAGGUGUGGGGGACAUUCCACGUUUUCCGUACCGUAGCUAACGCAUUAAGUGCCCCGCCUGGGGAGUACGGCCGCAAGGCUAAAACUCAAAGGAAUUGACGGGGGCCCGCACAAGCGGCGGAGCAUGCGGAUUAAUUCGAUGCAACGCGAAGAACCUUACCAAGGCUUGACAUGAACCGGAAACGCCUGGAAACAGGUGCCCCGCUUGCGGUCGGUUUACAGGUGGUGCAUGGUUGUCGUCAGCUCGUGUCGUGAGAUGUUGGGUUAAGUCCCGCAACGAGCGCAACCCUCGUUCUAUGUUGCCA